GGUAAAGUCAAGACAGAAGGAUCCUGAAGAUUCCCUGAGACGCACUGCCCCAGGGCUGUUGACCCAGCCCCUCUGCCACGCCCACCCAGGCCUUCCUAUACAAGCCCAUACUAAAGCUUUCAUGGAGGGGAGGCCAGAUCAGCAGAGCUCCUACGUACCUACUGUGCUCACAAGUGAUGCUCUCUGUUCCUGCUCGUGGGAGAGCCAGAGACGUGAUCCCACCUACCUAUAGAGGAGGUGGGGUGUGUUUGUCUACCUGCCUAACGCGGAAGAGGAAAACAUGUUGGUGUGCGGUGAGAAUAUAUCUCCCUGUCCAAAGGGGCUGCACCAGGUUACAAUCCCAGCAAGAGUUUACAAGGAUUCUGAUCCCUCCACAUUCUCAUCAACUCCUGCUAUCCUUUUCCCCCACAACACUCAUUAAAAAUUG